rnacentral:misc_RNA from 1 species
ACAAAUCCAAUAUUUAUGGGAGGGAUGUAUAAUCCUGACCUAAUAUUAAACCGCUAGCUCAAAUACUCUGGUAUUAGGGCUAGUUGGAUAUAUAUGCGUGAAUGUAGACAGUGUGUGUAAUAAAAUUUAUUGA